UGGGAACCUUCCCCAUGGUUCGGAAUAGCUCAGGGGAAACUUGGGGUAAUACCGGAUAAGCCCUUCGGGGGAAAGAUUUAUCGCCAUUGGAUGGGCCCGCGUCGGAUUAGCUAGUUGGUGAGGUAACGGCUCACCAAGGCAACGAUCCGUAGCUGGUCUGAGAGGAUGAUCAGCCACACUGGGACUGAGACACGGCCCAGACUCCUACGGGAGGCAG
rnacentral:rRNA from 1 species